AUAGCCGACGCGGCUCUAAGUGUAGUAUCUGUUCUUAUCAGCUUAAUAUACGAUACGGAUUGUAUUUAGAGCCAAGAUAUUAAACUAAUUUGUGCAAGUUCGCGGAGUGCUUGAAGCCUGCUUCACCUCCACCGCGCGUCGGCCUGGUAUUGCAAUAUAUUCGGGAUUUUUGGUCCACGGACA